GACGAACGCUGGCGGCGUGCUUAACACAUGCAAGUCGAGCGGUAAGGCCCUUUCGGGGGUACACGAGCGGCGAACGGGUGAGUAACACGUGGGUGACCUGCCCUCAGCUCUGGGAUAAGCCUGGGAAACCGGGUCUAAUACCGGAUAUGACUCCAUGACGCAUGUUGUGGGGUGGAAAGCCUUGUGCGGCUGAGGAUGGGCCCGCGGCCUAUCAGCUUGUUGGUGGGGUGAGGCCUACCAAGGCGACGACGGGUAGCCGGCCUGAGAGGGCGACCGGCCACACUGGGACUGAGACACGGCCCAGACUCCUACGGGAGGCAGCAGUGGGGAAUCUUGCGCAAUGGGCGAAAGCCUGACGCAGCGACGCCGCGUGAGGGAUGACGGCCUC
rnacentral:rRNA from 1 species